rnacentral:rRNA from 1 species
AAUCGGGCAUUCCCUAGUAGCGGCGAGCGAAGCGGGAAGAGCUCAAAUUUAUAAUCUGGCACCUUCGGUGUCCGAGUUGUAAUCUCUAGAAGUGUUUUCCGCGUUGGACCGCACACAAGUCUGUUGGAAUACAGCGGCAUAGUGGUGAAACCCCCGUAUAUGGUGCGGACGCCCAGCGCUUUGUGAUACACUUUCAAUGAGUCGAGUUGUUUGGGAAUGCAGCUCAAAUUGGGUGGUAAAUUCCAUCUAAAGCUAAAUAUUGGCGAGAGACCGAUAGCGAACAAGUACCGUGAGGGAAAGAUGAAAAGCACUUUGGAAAGAGAGUUAACAGUACGUGAAAUUGUUGGAAGGGAAACGCUUGAAGUCAGACUUGCUUGCCGGAGCUUGCUUCGGUUUGCAGGCCAGCAUCAGUUUUCCGGGGUGGAUAAUGACGGUUUGAAGGUAGCAGUCUCGGCUGUGUUAUAGCUUUCCGUUGGAUACAUCCUGGGGGACUGAGGAACGCAGCGUGCUUUUUGCGAAAGACUCGUCUUUUUCACGCUUAGGAUGCUGGUGGAAUGGCUUUAAACGACCCGUCUUAA